CUUCGCCGUAACCCCUGCCCUUCUCUCGGACCAUUGUAACCGCUCUCCCCUCGCAUCCCAGUCUCGCCACCUUCCGGAAGCGCCACCCAGAGGAGGCGGGGCUGGCAGCGGCCAUGCCGGUGGGGAGUUAUUCAAAAGGGAUAAUACCCACUUCAUUUACCACCCAGCCUGGAGCAACUGAUCUAACAGGCAAGUGGCACUGGCUGGGGGGUUAGCCACGCUGCCGACUGGCAGCAUUCAACAGCACCAUCCAGGAGGCGGGCGCCAUUAUGUUCUUGUCUUCAUUCUCCAGCGGAUCUGAGAAGACCCACAGCGUCCUCUCUCUGCCUUUGUUUCUUAUCAGU